AUUGAACGCUGGCGGCAGGCCUAACACAUGCAAGUCGAACGGUAACAGGAAGAAGCUUGCUUCUUUGCUGACGAGUGGCGGACGGGUGAGUAAUGUCUGGGAAACUGCCUGAUGGAGGGGGAUAACUACUGGAAACGGUAGCUAAUACCGCAUAAUGUCGCAAGACCAAAGAGGGGGACCUUCGGGCCUCUUGCCAUCGGAUGUGCCCAGAUGGGAUUAGCUAGUAGGUGGGGUAACGGCUCACCUAGGCGACGAUCCCUAGCUGGUCUGAGAGGAUGACCAGCCACACUGGAACUGAGACACGGUCCAGACUCCUACGGGAGGCAGCAGUGGGGAAUAUUGGACAAUGGGCGCAAGCCUGAUGCAGCUAUGCCGCGUGUAUGAAGAAGGCCUUCGGGUUGUAAAGUACUUUCAGCGGGGAGGAAGGGAGUAAAGUUAAUACCAUUGCUCAUUGACGUUACCCGAAGAAGAAGCACCGGCUAACUCCGUG
rnacentral:rRNA from 1 species